GGGUCAGUAGGUUGGUCGUGCCACCGGUACGUACUGGUCUCACUGAUUCCUCCUUCCUGAACAACCGUAAUGCCAUUAAUUUGGUGUUGCGGGGUAACAGGACUGUUACUUUGAAAAAAUUAGAGUGUUUAAAGCAAGCUAACGCUUGAAUACAUUAGCAUGGAAUAAUGAAAUAGGACGAUCGAUCCUAUUUUGUUGGUUUCUAGGAUUGACGUA
rnacentral:rRNA from 1 species